rnacentral:snRNA from 1 species
UUACUUACCUGGCACCGUGAUCACGCAGGGGGUCUUCCCAGGGCGAGGCUCAUCCAGUACAUUUGGGGUAUGCCGACCCCUGUGAUCUCCCCAGAUGUGGGACACUCAACUGCAUCCUGUGUGGUUGUGGAGCGACUGCACUUGUGCUCUCCCCUG